rnacentral:rRNA from 1 species
GACGAACGCUGGCGGCAUGCCUAAUACAUGCAAGUCGAGCGAACAGAUGAAGUGCUUGCACUUCUGACGUUAGCGGCGAACGGGUGAGUAACACGUAAGGAAUCUACCUAUAAGCGGGGGAUAACAUUCGGAAACGGGUGCUAAUACCGCAUAAUAUCUUCUUCCGCAUGGAAGAAGAUUGAAAGACGGCUCUGCUGUCACUUAUAGAUGACCUUGCGGUGCAUUAGUUAGUUGGUGGGGUAACGGCCUACCAAGACGAUGAUGCAUAGCCGACCUGAGAGGGUGAUCGGCCACAUUGGUACUGAGACACGGCCCAAACUCCGACGGGAGGCAGCAGUAGGGAAUCUUCCGCAAUGGGCGAAAGCCUGACGGAGCAAUGCCGCGUGAGUGAAGAAGGCCUUCGGGUCGUAAAACUCUGUUAUAAGAGGAGAACAAAUUGUAGAGUAACUGCUACAGUCUUGACGGUAUCUUAUCAGAAAGCCACGGCUAACUACGUGCCAGCAGCCGCAGUAA